CGAUGCGGCGCAGUAGUAGUGCGACUGCCUGCGACGCAGAUGGUUCUGGGUUCGAUUCCCAGUGGAUCAA